rnacentral:misc_RNA from 1 species
GGAAAACCUCACAAAGGGUUUUGUAGUUUCUGAGCAGAAGCUGAAUAGAACUUAUAAAAGUGAUGGAUUUGUUGUGAAAUUGAUGAAGAAUGUGACGUGGGAUGAUAUAAAUGUUUUAGCUGUUUGGGAUCUUCCCAUGGCUUCGGAUUUUGGGCAUGUUGUUUUGAGGAAUUUGACGAAUGGGACUGAGUUUUUAGCCCCGUUGCCAAGUUUGGUUAAUGGGACUGUGAUUAAGGGAAAUGGGAUGCCUACAAUGUUCAAUAAUUGUAAGGUGUUAGCAGAUAAUUAUAGGGUUAGGUGGAGUUUGAAUGAGGAAGAGGAUGUGAUUGAGAUUGGAUUA